ensembl:lncRNA
CUUGGUGUGCUGAUUUCCAACUGGAUGGCGAGGAGAAACUCUCCAAACUGCGUUAUAAUUUACAGUUCAGAGAUUUGUAACAUUAGAUGGAUAUUUUAGGGAUGUGUAAACCCAUUAGCCCUGCGACGGACUGGCAGCCGGUCCAGCGUAUAUUCCACUUCUGUUAUGAGAUUCUAUGUUUUUAUGUGUUUUAUUCUUUGUUUUAUUAUCUUUUAAUAUUCAAGCAUAUUGUAAAGUGUUUAUAUAUUUCACAGAAUUUGCUGUACUUCCCCAUGUCACAAGAUUCGAUGUAUUGCUCCAUUGUCAUGCAACCCGACAGUGAACUCUGCAAUACAUAUAGUUUAAGCAGGAAACAGAUGCGGGUCACCCAGACUACAAUAGAAAACGGAUGAGGCACCUAAACCACAACAGGAAAACAGAUGCGCGACUCCCUAACCACAAAAGAUUAAGUCAGCGCCACGUCUUUUAGAAAGAAGCAGACACACACACACAUAUACAACUGUUGGUUUAAAGGAAUUUGUAAAAGAGGAAAUGUGACGUAUUUGCAUACGCGAUGUAACCUAUAAAUAAAGAACUGUGCCUGCACUCAGGGUGUGGGUCUCGCCAGAGUCCUCACCCGUGCGCGGGGUCUCGCCAGAGGCCUCACGCAUGCACGUUGCUGUUAUUAUAUUCUAACUGUUUGAGUGUCUUUAUUCAGCCUGAAGAAUGUCUUAUUAAAAAUAAACUCUUGACAUUUAAUUGGUCCUUCGAGCCUGGAUGUAGGACAUCGAAUUAUAACUAAUUUUAUGCUCCAACGGAGUGACCUCGUCGUUUCCUGACAUCGUGGAGAGCCCGCGCUGAAGUCUGUCGACAGCCUCUUUCCUAUGAAGGAGAAAAAGACCAACUACGUGAAUUCGGGGUUGGCCAGCGUUCUUAGUAAGAGGUCCACGAUCCUGGGGAACGAGGAGGAAUCUCUGACCGGCACUUAUAUCAUCAUAACCAGUCUCUUCCAGGUUGAAACCAGGCGACUGGAUCCUGAUCAAGGUUCUCCAGAGGAAAAACUGGAGCUCACCGAGGUGGGAGGGCCCUUUUCAGGUCCUGCUAACGACGCCAACAGCGUGCAAAAUCGCUGAAAGACCUUCGUGGAUCCACCAGAGCCACACCAAAAAAGUACAAGGGGACACAAGCCCAGACGCCAGUUCACCUGUCAUCUAGUGAUCUGUAAGUGGAGGAGAGGGCAGAUUGGGUAUACCCCGCCCUCUUGACUUCUCGCUUUCAGUCAACACACUAGGUGAUCUGGUGAACUUGGUCGACCUGAAGAAACCCCAUUGUAGCCCGAGCACUGACCUAGCCCCACCUGCCCGGUAGAGUAAAGGAAGAUCAGUCCAACCUGCAAAACCAGAAGAGCAACCCAUCACUCAAGAUGUGUCCUCAUCCUGUGGAAUCAGAUCCAUGACCAUGGUCUGCCUAUGGAGACUUAGAGUCCCAGAAAAGCAGGGUGUAUCUUUUGUUUAUCCAAAUAAGACACUGCAACCGGAAUCUUCCUGGCACAAGCUUAUAGCCCGAUAGCAACUGAAGAAGAAGAAGACUGUGUGUAAGAAUUUCUUGUACUUAACAUGACGUAGCAAUUGAAAAUGUGCAAACAAGUGAUUGUCUACUGAAGCCUAUGAAGUACGAGUGAAAUAUAUUAACAACAGGAGGGAAUGUUAUGAGAUUCUAUGUUUUUAUGUGUUUUAUUCUUUGUUUUAUUAUCUUUUAAUAUUCAAGCAUAUUGUAAAGUGUUUAUAUAUUUCACAGAAUUUGCUGUACUUCCCCAUGUCACAAGAUUCGAUGUAUUGCUCCAUUGUCAUGCAACCCGACAGUGAACUCUGCAAUACAUAUAGUUUAAGCAGGAAACAGAUGCGGGUCACCCAGACUACAAUAGAAAACGGAUGAGGCACCUAAACCACAACAGGAAAACAGAUGCGCGACUCCCUAACCACAAAAGAUUAAGUCAGCGCCACGUCUUUUAGAAAAAGCAGACACACACACACAUAUACAACUGUUGGUUUAAAGGAAUUUGUAAAGAGGAAAUGUGACGUAUUUGCAUACGCGAUGUAACCUAUAAAUAAAGAACUGUGCCUGCACUCAGGGUGUGGGUCUCGCCAGAGUCCUCACCCGUGCGCGGGGUCUCGCCAGAGGCCUCACGCAUGCACGUUGCUGUUAUUAUAUUCUAACUGUUUGAGUGUCUUUAUUCAGCCUGAAGAAUGUCUUAUUAAAAAUAAACUCUUGACAACUUCUUACCCCAUUACAACAGGGAUGGGCUCCACCCUCUAUGUGACCCUGGGAUGGACGAUGGGAUGUUAAAAUAACCUCAGUCUUUUCUCACUUACCUCUGGAAGUAUCUACCCAGGAGGCAUCACAGUUACCUGUUAAAGCGCACUGUUGUGUAUCAACACCGACUCUUUACUGUUCACAAUAAACCAAGGCUCCAUUUUUAGCCUCAAAUUUUGAGCUCUUGUAUUGCUUUCCCACAAUUUCUAGUUACCUUUUUUAACAAUGAAUAUACACAGAAAUUUAACUCGCACAAAAUAAAAUUAAAUAUUUCAUGAUCCUUUCUCCCCUCAUUAAUAACGCUCUCAGUCUAUUCUUACUGUGUUAGCUUUCCAUUGUUAAAUGGCAGGACUAUAAAACAAGACCUUUUAAAC